rnacentral:rRNA from 1 species
GACGAACGCUGGCGGCGUGCUUAACACAUGCAAGUCGAACGCUGAAGCUCAGCUUGCUGGGUGGAUGAGUGGCGAACGGGUGAGUAACACGUGAGUAACCUGCCCUCUUCUUUGGGAUAACGCCCGGAAACGGGUGCUAAUACUGGAUAUUCACUGAUUCUCGCAUGGGGGUUGGUGGAAAGGUUUUUUCUGGUGGGGGAUGGGCUCGCGGCCUAUCAGCUUGUUGGUGGGGUGAUGGCCUACCAAGGCUUUGACGGGUAGCCGGCCUGAGAGGGUGACCGGUCACAUUGGGACUGAGAUACGGCCCAGACUCCUACGGGAGGCAGCAGUGGGGAAUAUUGCACAAUGGGCGAAAGCCUGAUGCAGCGACGCCGCGUGAGGGAUGGAGGCCUUCGGGUUGUAACCCUCUUUCGCUCAUGGUCAAGCCGCAGCUUUGGGUUGUGGUGAGGGUAGUGGGUAAAGAAGCGCCGGCUAACUACGUG